rnacentral:lncRNA from 1 species
AGAAAAAUGAAAACAGUGCACAGGGAACAAUGGAGGGCAAAUGGGACUCUUUUAGAACUGGAUCCACUGAUACAUCAGGCCAAGGAGAAAUGACCACAAGCUCUGAAAAGUGGAGAGCUCCCCCAGACAGCAAAGACAGCUGCCCCGGCACCUCUGCACAGUCCUUUUCUGGAUCUGCCCCUCACCGUGCUCCCCACCUGCACCCCGUCCUCAGAACAGAUUGCCUUGCCUGACCUCCUGAGGCCGAUGGAGAUGGAGAUGGUGGUGUGACCCCCUUUGCCCUCCAUCACUGUGCUUCCCACACCUCUGCGCAGCUCGUUCAUUCUCUCCCUCCACUCUGACUUAAGGGAAGAGGAAUUUUAAAACCAACCUCAUCCCUUCCCACCUCCUCAGGAAACUCACUCCUUUGCUUACCCUCUCUCCACUUUUAAAAAUAACAAUAAAAAUGC